AAUAAAGUGGCUGAGAGACAGGCGAUAGAUUGUAAAUCUAUAAACGAAUUUAUAAUUCCUUUAUUA
rnacentral:tRNA from 1 species